rnacentral:rRNA from 1 species
UUAUCGUUUAUUUGAUAGUACCUUACUACAUGGAUACCUGUGGUAAUUCUAGAGCUAAUACAUGCUAAAAACCCCGACUUCGGGAGGGGUGUAUUUAUUAGAUAAAAAACCAAUGCCCUUCGGGGCUCCUUGGUGAAUCAUAAUAACUUAACGAAUCGCAUGGCCUUGCGCCGGCGAUGGUUCAUUCAAAUUUCUGCCCUAUCAACUUUCGAUGGUAGGAUAGUGGCCUACCAUGGUAGCAACGGGUAACGGGGAAUUAGGGUUCUAUUCCGGAGAGGGAGCCUGAGAAACGGCUACCACAUCCAAGGAAGGCAGCAGGCGCGCAAAUUACCCAAUCCCGAUACGGGGAGGUAGUGACAAUAAAUACUGAUACAGGGCUCUUUUGGGUCUUGUAAUUGGAAUGAGUACAAUUUAAAUCCCUUAACGAGGAACAAUUGGAGGGCAAGUCUGGUGCCAGCAGCCGCGGUAAUUCCAGCUCCAAUAGCGUAUAUUAAAGUUGUUGCAGUUAAAAAGCUCGUAGUUGAACCUUGGGCCUGGCUGGCCGGUCCGCCUCACCGCGUGUACUGGUCCGGCCGGGCCUUUCCUUCUGGGGAGCCGCAUGCCCUUCACUGGGCGUGUCGGGGAACCAGGACUUUUACUGUGAAAAAAUUAGAGUGUUCAAAGCAGGCCUUUGCUC